AGCGGAGGAAAAGAAACCAACCGGGAUUGCCUCAGUAACGGCGAGUGAAGCGGCAAGAGCUCAAAUUUGAAAUCUGGCCCCUCCGGGGUCCGAGUUGUAAUUUGCAGAGGAUGCUUCGGGUGCGGCCCCUGUCUAAGUGCCCUGGAACGGGCCGUCAGAGAGGGUGAGAAUCCCGUCUUGGGCAGGGUGCCCGUGCCCGUGUGAAGCUCCUUCGACGAGUCGAGUUGUUUGGGAAUGCAGCUCAAAAUGGGUGGUAAAUUUCAUCUAAAGCUAAAUACCGGCCGGAGACCGAUAGCGCACAAGUAGAGUGAUCGAAAGAUGAAAAGCACUUUGAAAAGAGAGUUAAACAGCACGUGAAAUUGUUGAAAGGGAAGCGCUUGCAACCAGACUCGGCCUCGGGGUUCAGCCAGCAUUCGUGCUGGUGUACUUCCCCGGGGCCGGGCCAGCGUCGGUUUGGGCGGCCGGUCAAAGGCCCCAGGAAUGUAUCGUCCUCCGGGACGUCUUAUAGCCUGGGGUGCAAUGCGGCCAGCCUGGACCGAGGAACGCGCUUCGGCACGGACGCUGGCGUAAUGGUCGCAAAC
rnacentral:rRNA from 1 species